UCGAAGGUCUUGUCAAAAUUAAUGCCAGAAGGUACAGGUACAGGAAGACAAAAUGCCAUUUUUUGCUUCAUUAUUCAAGUAUUCAGGCGAACAAGGAUACCAGUGGACACUAGACAGGUAACUUUUUUACUCCGCUGAAAUGCUAGUGAAACUUAGUUUUCGACUAAAGUCGUUCGUAAUUGGUUAUGAAACCCAUGACGUCAUAACGAUGUCACACCUCUCAGCCAAUAAUAAGUAACUGGAACUGCUUUUGUUUGCGUAAGAAAGUAAGUUAGAGGGCUCAUUAAAAGUAAACAUUACCGCAGAGGAAACACCUCUCCCGACUUAGGAAAAAUUUGAGAGUGGCGAGGUUAAUAGGACUGCAGAACCCUCAGGAAGCAGGUGGAGUGAUAGAAAUCCUGGUUGUGGAGUUGCUGACAGAGAGAGUUGCAUACCUACCUAGGCAUAUGCAUUGAAGCUUGUUGCAACGGUCCUGAGUUCGUGUUGGAAUUUUCCAAGAUGCAUCAAGAAAAUUUAAUAACAAGAAAUGUCAUCUGCAAUCUGAAGAAUGGAUUCUUAAUUUUUUCAGGGGCUCUUCUUUUUUUUUUUUUUUAAGUAUAAAUUAGUACAAGUUACAAACCUCCUAUUUUCACGUGUGCCUGAGUCUGGGCGCCUGAGAUGAAACUAAUAAAGUGAUAUUUAUCUGUGUGACUGUUUGUUGAAACUAGAUAAGUAUAUCUUAGUUUUACCAGACCACUGAGCUGAUUAACAGCUCUCCUAGGGCUGGCCCGAAGGAUUAGAUAUUUUUACGUAGCUAGGAACCAAUAGGUCACCUACAGUUUAUUGUGGGCUCCGAACCACACUAUAUCGAGAAAUGAAUUUCUAUCAUCAGAAAUAAAUUCCUCUGAUUCCGCGUUGGCCGAGCCAGGAUUCGAACUUCGGACCACCGGAUUGGCAGCCAAGUGCGAAAACCACUCGACCAGUGAGGAACUUGAUAUAUGAUAGUUAUUUUUGUAUGUGUGUGUGAGAGAGAAUCUCCCUCUAGUGAAAGUCUGUGUGUGUGUGUGUGUGUGUGUGUGUGUGUGUGUGUGUGUGUGUGUGUGUGUGUGUGUGCGCCCCCUGGUAGUUGCUUGCUCCUUUUUCCUCUGUCCAUUGCACAUUAAUAUGUUUAUAGAGCUCU